UUAGUCAUAGUGGGUCCCCGGACAACCUAUUGUUUUAUAUAAAAAAAAAAACUACGUGUCAUGAAGUUUAGCUUGUAGUCCAAUGAUUUUUUUACACCCCACCACACACGAGAUGUGGGUUCAAAUCCCAUUACUCACAAAUUUUUUCUUUUUUUGCUUUACAACCUCACUUCCAAUUUCAAGAUUUAGAAAUUAAAACAUUGAAGUCAGAAACUCAGAACUUUUCCCCCAAAUUAUAAAACCCUAAGUCUCAAACUCGCCUAAAUCGAAAUCCCUAGACCUCAGCCGCAGCAGCCCUGUCGCCGUUCACCGGCCGGUUUUUCGUGUUGCGUCAGUCCGUGUUCUCACCAUCGCCGAUAUAAGGUUCCUCCGUCAGGCGUGAGGCGUCAGUCCCUCUGCCCGUGGCUCGUACAGUCGUGCUUUGUGGAAAUUCGAUUUUUUUUUUAGGUUAGUUUUAAUUAUGCAAUAGGUUUGCUUAUGAGCUUCAUCUUUUGAUAAAUUGAUGUUUGAGUGGUAAUAUGCUUACUCGAAUUCGUCUAUUCAAUGGUUGUUGUGGAAUUGUUGAAGGUGAUUGAUUUAGCAACUAGCCAACUACAGGUCUAUAGCUCUACAAGACUACAAUAAUGAUUAGCUUUUUACAAUUGGGUUGAUGCAUCGGGUUUUCUAAUGAGAUUUGUAUUUUUGGUAUAUUGAUGUUUGGGCGGUAAUUUGCUCGCCCAAAUUGACCUUUUUUAGGGUGGUUGUUUAAUUAACUGAUCUUUAUACUAUUUUCAUGUCACUACUAUUGUUGGCUAGCCAUUUUACUUGUAGACCAGAUGUGCCUGUGUUCUAUUUUAGUCUGCUUUAUUCCUAAUAACAGGCUUAUGCUAGCAAUUUGGACAACUUUCUGUUGGAAAGUAGUAAAAGUUGCUUGUGAAAGUGGUCUUUUUAAGUUGGUCCACACUUUGCUUGUUAUGACCGUCAGUUUGAGUUUAAUGAGGGUGGUGGUACAUUUUUAAUUUGCUUAGUUCCUUGAUGCAAUUGGAUGAUGUUUGUUGUUUAUCUAGACCUGUUUUCGCUAUCUCUUUUUCAGGUUGGUAUAGGACCAUAGGCUAUAUUCUCCUCAAGACCGCCCUUAGUUGUUUUUUUUUUUGGGGGGGGGGGUGAAAUUUCUUGAUUUUAUAUUGUGGCAAUGUGUUUCAGCUGAUAAAUCAUUAAUAUGAUUAUGUGAUAAUUGAUUGUUUUCUGUUGUAGUAUUCUCACAAAAAGAGGAAAAAGCCCCUAAUAGCAAAAAUUGAUUUUGUAAUAAGAUUCAUGGUGCACUUCUCUGCUUUGGCUGUCCAUUGUUUAUAUUUUACACAAUUUUCUUCAUUAAUCAUUUUAUCACUAUAAUUACAACAUUCCAAGAAGAAACGGAGUCAUUGUCCCUUCAUUUGGACUCUCAACUUCUAUUCAAUUGGUAAACUUGUAUUCAGUUUCAAACUUUCAACAUGAUCUGAUUUUGCAAAGAAACUUAAACUGUUUUGGGGUUGAAGGGUGGACUGAAAUUGAGGUUAAUGGGCAUUCUUUUAAUGAUAUUAUUAGUUUUAAUAACCUUGAGAGAACCCUUCUUGUAUAAUUUAUCUAAUUCAACUUUUAACUUCAAUUUCAGAAUGAAAAGAAAAACAACUCGAGAUAUUUCAAUUUUUUUACUAAAAAAGGGCCUACUCUAAAUCCUCCUCCACAAAAUGAUCCUCCUUUAUGAAAUGAACUUUUUUGUGUAUAUUUUUUUUGUUCAUUAUACAAGCUUUGACUAUUUUUUGAUACUUUAUGUGGUCGAUGGACGAUGAUGGACAAUCUAUUAAUCAAAUCGUGGAUCUGCCACUGGGCAUAAUGUUUAAGAAAGGAUUUAAAUAAAAAUUAUGUGACUACAAACAAGAAGAGAGAGUUAAAAUGAGAAUUUCAGCAAGAGAUAUUUGGUGCUAAUGAAACCUUUGCAGUGCUUCACACGGGGACCAAGAAUCACAACUGAUCGAUGUUCCAUGGGUUUCUUUAAUUAAUCUAUCAUUGUCAACAACUACCAAGCCUUUUACUACAGGAUUCGAGUACUUUUAAUGCUUAAGGAGUUCAAAUGAGAGCCUCAAAUUUAUCUUAUUUGGGUUGCGCAAGGCAAUGGUAAAAUAGCAUAGUUCGAAUAUUUAGCUGCAUAAAUACACAACCGUAUGAAACUUAUGCUUCCAAGUUCUUUAUGGCGCUGGUUGCUGCAGCUGCUAAUGCACGCCGUUGUUGGUGUUGCUACUCAUUGAAUCUGCCGGUGUUGCCAUAGAUUCUUGCUGUGCUCAUUGCUGGUCACUUGUUGUAAUGUGUUGUAAUUAAUUAUUUAUUUUAACUUAUUUGUAAAAUGUCAGUGCUUUUACUAAGGUUUUGAUGUAAUAAUACAGUCAUUUAUUAUAAAUUAAAAU